ACUUACUCUCAUAAGUUUGAGUCUCAAGUCACGAAAAAGGGCCAACUCUCACGUGUUGGCGGAAAGUUACCAAAAUAUGUUAAGAACUUAAUUCAGAGAUAAUGUUGCUAAACGAUUUACAGUCGAUAAUCUUUCGAAAGCAGA
rnacentral:lncRNA from 1 species